GACGAACGCUGGCGGCGUGCUUAACACAUGCAAGUCGAACGGAAAGGCCAGUGCUUGCCCUGGUACUCGAGUGGCGAACGGGUGAGUAACACGUGGGUGAUCUGCCUUGCACUCUGGGAUAAGCUUGGGAAACUGGGUCUAAUACCGGAUAUGAACUGCCUUUAGUGUGGUGGUUGGAAAGUUUUUUCGGUGCAAGAUGAGCUCGCGGCCUAUCAGCUUGUUGGUGGGGUAAUGGCCUACCAAGGCGUCGACGGGUAGCCGGCCUGAGAGGGUGUACGGCCACAUUGGGACUGAGAUACGGCCCAGACUCCUACGGGAGGCAGCAGUGGGGAAUAGUGCACAAUGGGCGGAAGCCUGAUGCAGCGACGCCGCGUGGGGGAUGACGGCCUUCGGGUUGUAAACUCCUUUCGACAGGGACGAAGCGUAAGUGACGGUACCUGUAGAAGAAGCACCGGCUAACUACGUG
rnacentral:rRNA from 1 species